rnacentral:tRNA from 1 species
GAGACCGUAGCUCAACAUGGUAGAGCGGCGGAUUCCAAAUCCGCAGGUUGGGGGUUCAAGUCCCUCCGGUCUCG